rnacentral:rRNA from 1 species
GAUCCUGGCUUAGAUUGAACGCUGGCGGCGUGCUUAACACAUGCAAGUCGCGCGUGAAAGGACUUCGGUCCGAGUAAAGCGGCGCACGGGUGAGUAACGCGUGGAUGAUCUACCCAUGAGUUAGGAAUAACGGCUGGAAACGGUCGCUAAUACCAAAUACGCUCCGAUUUCAACUUCGGGGGAAAGGUGGCCUCUGCUUGCAAGCUACUGCUCAUGGAUGAGUCCGCGUCCCAUUAGCUAGUUGGUGGGGUAACGGCCCACCAAGGCGACGAUGGGUAGCCGGUCUGAGAGGAUGACCGGCCACACUGGGACUGGAACACGGCCCAGACUCCUACGGGAGGCAGCAGUGGGGAAUAUUGCGCAAUGGGCGAAAGCCUGACGCAGCGACGCCGCGUGAGGGGAAUGAAGGUCCUCGGAUCGUAAACCUCUGUCAGGAGGGAAGAACCGCCACGGUGCUAAUCAGCCGUGGUCUGACGGUACCUCCAAAGGAAGCACCGGCUAACUCCGUGCCAGCCGCCGC